AGUGAACGCUGGCGGUAGGCCUAACACAUGCAAGUCGAACGGCAGCACAGUAAGAGCUUGCUCUUACGGGUGGCGAGUGGCGGACGGGUGAGGCAUACAUCGGAAUCUACUUUUUCGUGGGGGAUAACGUAGGGAAACUUACGCUAAUACCGCAUACGACCUACGGGUGAAAGCAGGGGAUCUUCGGACCUUGCGCGACUGAAUGAGCCGAUGUCGGAUUAGCUAGUUGGCGGGGUAAAGGCCCACCAAGGCGACGAUCCGUAGCUGGUCUGAGAGGAUGAUCGGCCACACUGGAACUGAGACACGGUCCAGACUCCUACGGGAGGCAGCAGUGGGGAAUAUUGGACAAUGGGCGAAAGCCUGAUCCAGCCAUGCCGCGUGAGUGAAGAAGGCCUUCGGGUUGUAAAGCCCUUUUGUUGGGAAAGAAAAGCAGCGGGUUAAUACCCCGCUGUUCUGACGGUACCCAAAGAAUAAGCACCGGCUAACUUCGUG
rnacentral:rRNA from 1 species